rnacentral:snoRNA from 1 species
GCGGCCAAUGAUGAUGACUCGUUCACCCUUUUCAGACAAACGCUGACGAUCUGAACUAACAUGCACUACCAUCUGAGGCCAU